AAACAAAGGAGCUGUCGACAAAAUGUCUACAACAUUUUCUAUAAAACAAUUAUUGUUUCUUAAAUUUCGACUAAAUCUUUUAUGCGUAGCUGAAACGAAGUGUUAACAAGUUCACUCUGUUAUAUCUGAUAGCUAAUUACAUUAUUUGCAAGCCAGCAAAGGUAUUUACUUCUAAGUUUGUUCCAAAAGAAAGCUAUUCGGGAAAAAGCGUUAUAUUUGACUGGAAAAUCACAAGCGGCUAUAUUUGGCGAACUCAAACACCUCGAAUUAAACAAAAUGUUUGUGUUUCACAUCGCAAAGAAUUAUGGUGGAGGUGUUGCCAAAAACCAUGGUCGUGGUGCGAAACAAAAACCGCAGCAAUACCUGAAGGCUCGAAUUCAACGAAAUCCAUUUCGCAGCAGCAACCAAAUGGCUUAAAAAAUUCCGUGGAAGCAUUUAUUGAAAAACGAGCUCAAGGUAAAGUUUUACAAGAUCCAAGCAAAAACCAAAAAAGAUAUACUUGAAAGAGCAUAGAUAGUGCAGCGCUUGCACGAAUGUUAUAUACAUAUUUGUGUUAUCUCUCGAGAAAAAUUUCCCAAUUGAGCAACUUCUCGCAACUAAUCUCCAAAAAUUAUCGAAUAUACAAGUACAAGAAUUUGAGCCUACGAACGGCCACCCAAAGUCAUUUUCCAUCUCAAGUAAUGGCAUGCUAAGACCGCCGAUGGCCGCUUUCCAAUUGUUUUCAUCGAGCCAGGCGUCAAAAUACCACAACGUGUAAAGCUGGCUUCCGAGUGAACUCACCUAUGAUGGGCUAUCCAUAAAACCUAACCUUACCUGCCUAAAGUGGACGCCCCUCCUCCGAAAACCUUCCAGAGAAAAUAUGGACCAAUAUGGGAGCUUGAAUGAAAUGUAUUUGCCAGUAAUAAAUAACACCUGUAUAACUAUUCCUAGGGGAUGAGGAGUCCACUUCAUUACUCCUUUUUUUGCUUUUGCAACUCACAUUUCCCUUGUAUGAUUGAUCAAGUCUAUUACGCUUAUCACAUCAAUACCAAUCUCGCUUGCAUAAAAGUAUGUCAACGUAAAUCAUAACGCUGUAUAACAAACUCGUUUAGUUUACCUCAUUACAAUUGCCAUUAAAAUCAUGUUAAUGCACGACCAUUACUCGGUUUCUAAAAUUAUAAAUAUAUCCUAUGAAUUUGUAUAUGCUAUAAACCCCAAAGUAAUUUAUGCAUGUGGCGG